rnacentral:tRNA from 1 species
GCUUCAAAGCCUAAGUAUACUUGGCAGCAUUAUUUUAAAAUGUUAUUAGUAAGGUUGCUUACUUGAAGUU